AACUGAUAUUCCAGAGAGAAGAAACUAGAAAAUUAACCUCGUUGCUAAACUUGGAGUUCAGAGGAUCACAGGCAUUGCUCUUUUCAACACAAGAGAGGAACAAACAUACGACCCUUUGCCAGAUUUGGAGAUUUUUGUAAGGACCAAGCCAACCAUCUACAAG